AAAUUUGUGAGCUACAGGCAGCUUGAUGCCGGAGAAUUUUUAAGGUUUGCUUUAUUUAUGUAUCAUUGAGAUGAAAAAAGGAAAAAAAUUAUAAUCACUUUCAAGGAAAAAUGAUUAAAAUUUCUUAUAGGAAUAUCCUUAUGCAAUCAGAAGACAAGUUCUAUCAAUAACAUGUUCUAGACCUUUGGUUGUGAAAACCUCAUGUGGUACAAGUUUUGUUUCAAAAUAAAAAGAAAAAAAGAUAAUUUCUUCAACAAAUAGAAAAAGUAUAGUUAUUUUUUAUGUUUCUAAUUUUUAUUGAAAAUGCAGGGCUCGUUAAAUUGCGAAAGGAUCCUGAGAAUAGGCUCAAGGAACCAAGGACAUGGCUUUGGGUGGUGUGGUGCAAUAUUCUAGUUUUCUUGUAAUUCAAAUGGGAAAAUUAAGGGGGAAAAAGAAUAAGGGAGAAAGAGAGUAGAGUAGGGGUGAGAAUUAUUUGGUUAAAACUAAAGAACCUAAUUGAACUAAUGACAUUUGGUUUGGUUUUGAAUUAAGUAGAACUUCAAAAUUUGGUUUUUGGUUCGGUUUUAAUUUAGGGUAACCGAAUAGACCGAAUUAACCAAUUGUUAAUACACUAUUAUUUUAUUUGUGAUAAAGAAUACCAACCUCAACUUUAAGUUCUGUUCCAAUAUUCAUCCAACUUAUGGCCUUAGUGUCUCCCUCUCAACCCUAAGUUUUGUUCCAAUAUUCAUCCAACCUAUGGCCUCAGUGUCUCCCUCUCUCACUUAUAAGUAUAUCCCUUUCAAGGUU
rnacentral:misc_RNA from 1 species